UUUGUCGCGUUGUUCGUGAAAUCUCACGGCUUAACUGUGAGCGUGCGGGCGAUACGGGCAGACUUGAGUACUGCAGGGGAGACUGGAAUNCCUGGUGUAGCGGUGGAAUGCGCAGAUAUCAGGAGGAACACCGGUGGCGAAGGCGGGUCUCUGGGCAGUAACUGACGCUGAGGAGCGAAAGCGUGGGGAGCGAACAGGAUUAGAUACCCUGGUAGUCCACGCCGUAAACGGUGGGUACUAGGUGUGGGUUUCCUUCCUUGGGAUCCGUGCCGUAGCUAACGCAUUAAGUACCCCGCCUGGGGAGUACGGCCGCAAGGCUAAAACUCAAAGAAAUUGACGGGGGCCCGCACAAGCGGCGGAGCAUGUGGAUUAAUUCGAUGCAACGCGAAGAACCUUACCUGGGUUUGACAUGCACAGGACGCCGGCAGAGAUGUCGGUUCCCUUGUGGCCUGUGUGCAGGUGGUGCAUGGCUGUCGUCAGCUCGUGUCGUGAGAUGUUGGGUUAAGUCCCGCAACGAGCGCAACCCUUGUCUCAUGUUGCCAGCGGGUAAUGCCGGGGACUCGUGAGAGACUGCCGGGGUCAACUCGGAGGAAGGUGGGGAUGACGUCAAGUCAUCAUGCCCCUUAUGUCCAGGGCUUCACACAUGCUACAAUGGCCGGUACAAAGGGCUGCGAUGUCGCGAGGUUAAGCGAAUCCUUUUAAAGCCGGUCUCAGUUCGGAUCGGGGUCUGCAACUCGACCCCGUGAAGUCGGAGUCGCUAGUAAUCGCAGAUCAGC
rnacentral:rRNA from 1 species